rnacentral:rRNA from 1 species
AUUGAACGCUGGCGGCAUGCCUAACACAUGCAAGUCGAACGGACGGUCGCAAGACCGUUAGUGGCGGACGGGUGCGUAACGCGUGGGAACCUGCCCUGAAGUUCGGAAUAACUGCGGGAAACUGCAGCUAAUACCGGAUGUGGCCUGAGGGCCAAAGGGGAAACUCGCUUCAGGAGGGGCCCGCGUCCGAUUAGCUAGUUGGCGGGGUAAUGGCACACCAAGGCGAUGAUCGGUAGCUGGUCUGAGAGGACGACCAGCCACACUGGAACUGAGAUACGGUCCAGACUCCUACGGGAGGCAGCAGUGGGGAAUAUUGGACAAUGGGGGCAACCCUGAUCCAGCAAUGCCGCGUGAGUGAUGAAGGCCUUCGGGUUGUAAAGCUCUUUUGGCGGGGACGAUGAUGACGGUACCCGCAGAAUAAGCCCCGGCUAACUUCGUGCCAGCAGCCGCCGUAAGAC